UUAUCGGGUUCUUCCCAACGACAGAUCAACACGCUUCGUGGUCCUUUGCAAAAACCCUUCUCUCUCCUGAGUUUCGGGUUUCGUUUGAAUCGAAAGUGAAAGGUCACGUAUACAAAACAAGCUUGAUUGGUAUCAGCAUUUUGUUUUUAACAUUUUCUAUCAUCGAGGGAAGUUGCUCUUCGACAUCUGUUCAAGAUCUAGGGUUCUUGUCCUUUCUGAGACGCUUACGACGCUGACGCCGGGGAUACGGCAAGAGAGUGAGCUUUGUUACCUGAUUUCUCACCUUUUUUGCCUCCUUAAGAUUUUCUCUUGUGUCGAAAAUUAGGGUUUUGAUUUUAGUCAUAAGCAUGUAGUUAUUUGUUGUUAAUUCCUUGGUACAGGGAAGCCGCUGGGCGUUUCACUUUCAGAAGAGAGAAGGUAGCAGCCAUGGAGAGCUGUUCUACUAGGACUCAUUAGCGAUGUGUGUCCUAGAACAAACUCCAAGGGCUUCAAAACAUUCUUUGUAGCCAGCGACAGAGCACAUUAAUACUAUCAGAUCCCAUGAUGUUUAAGAAAAAUAUGUUGUUUUCAGUUCUUCUUCGUUAUUUCUGACCCUUGUUCGGGUUAUUGAGAAAGUUUAUGGGAAUUAUUCGAUUCUUGGAGCUGGGUUUUGGAGGGUAAAAUUGAGAUUUGUUAAUUGUGGUUUCAAUCUUCUUGGUUAAUCAGGUUGAUCUAGUAGACUUAAUUCAUUGAUUGGUCUGGAGUUGAAUGCCUCAAUCAAAACUCCAGCCACUCUCUUCCCAAUGCUCUCAAACAGGGAUAUAGAGAAGAUGCUGGUUUGAAUCUAGAGAGCGAUGCGGAUGAGCAGCUGUUGAUCUAUAUACCUUUCACUCAAGUUGUUAAACGGUACUCUGUUGUUGUCCAGGGACCUGAAGAAGAAGGAGAUGUUGCCAUGGCUGAUGCCUGCACAAGUUCAAUCAAAGGCUCGCCAAGUGCAAGGGGAUCAAGUUUUAUUGAGGGGAUCUCUAAAUCUUCAUAUGUAAGACAAGCAUCAGAUCUUAAAGGUUCUUCCGUAAAGGUCAGUUUUGAAAU